CUGUAGUUGACAGCAAUACCCUGAACCUGAGAACGCUCCCCUUAAAAGUAAGAGGCAUUAAGGUUGGGAUAUCAGAGGCCUCAGGGAGCAUCUCUAACUUGGAGUUCUCGUCUGGACACAUACGUCUCCGUAAUGUAUCCAGUUCUACCGUUAGAUAAGGCUCCUGCUAGGGGACGCGGUGUAACUCAUAAUCAAAGGACUGAAGGGGAAACCUUUCCUUCUCUGGGGUUUUCCCAAGAGGCCGAGAAAGAGCUCUGUACGUCUGGCGCAGAAGCUGGUUUGAAUGAAGGAGGAGGAGGGGAGGGAGAACCGAGGAAGGGCCUGGGGGGGUGUGAGACUUCCUGGCUUUAUUAAAAUAAAAAGGGGAUGGGGUUCUUUGUCAACUUCGGGGAAUUCAUGAGUAGCAGGUCAAAGGCCUUGCCCUUCACAGAGACUUUCAGAAAGACUUUCAAGCAGAGUGUUCUGUGUGCAUGUCUGGGAAGGAGGAGCAGACGGAAGGAAGCAAGACGCUCUUAAAACAAAUGGAUCCCCACUAUCUGCUUCACACUGGGAAAGCAUCUGCCAGCCAGCUCUUCUGCCUCUUCAACCUUGCAGAUGAGAUAGGGAGUCGGUUCUGAAGAAGAGAUGCAAUAGAAUUACACAGAUAGAAGAAUCAAAGAAGUAACCAGCUGCCGUCUGUGUUCAACACAAUCCAGUGGAUAGGAUGUAUUUUACCCCAAAACAAGUUAUCAGAACAACAGAAAAUUGACACAAUGGAAAGUAUUCACAAAGCAGAGCUGGAGGAGGAGGAAGGCAGCUUGCUGACACCUGGGGAGAGAGCAGUCCAGGCAGGGGGCAGAGCCAGGUGCAAAGGCCCAGCAGCGGGAGCAUGCUGGAGUGUCUCAGGAGAGCAUGGAGUGCCCUGGGAAAGGGCGAUGGGAAGGUCAGGCUUUCAGGUAUUAUGAUUUUUCCCCACCACUGCUUCUUUCUGGAAAUCCUUUCUCUCCAUCCGUGCUGACUCUACGAUAAAGCACGCCUCGCUGCGUAUGAAUGGAUGCACUUCAGGAUGACAGAGGGGUGUUACAAAAUAUCUAUGAUGAAAGGAGGGCUGAAAUCUCUGCCUACCUUGAGCUCCCAGAGCAGCACACUCCAAAUCCUCAGCACACCCCCUGGGAAGCCCCCAGCCCUGCUCCAGGGGAUUCUCAAGGGACAGGGACAGAUGAUGAAUGAGACACAGAAUUAAUGAGUCCCAACAGUGGGCAUUAUCCCAACCAUAAGGCUGGUUGGUCUUGUGGGUUUUUGCU